AGCGAACGCUGGCGGCGUGCCUAACACAUGCAAGUCGAGCGAAGGCAUGAGUGUAGCGAUACACUGAUGUACUUAGCGGCGGACGGGUGAGUAACACGUGGAUAAUCUGCCCUGAGGACCGGGACAACUCUUGGAAACGGGAGCUAAUACCGGAUGUGACCACGAUGUCUGAGGACGUUGAGGUAAAAGGGUGGCCUGCAAGGGCUAUUGCCUUGGGAUGAGUUCACGACCCAUCAGGUAGUUGGGGGGU
rnacentral:rRNA from 1 species